UCCUUGCAGUGGACCCAGCUUCCCUUCUUCCUAUGGAAGCUUUCAGUCCCCACCCCAACCCAGUCCCAUUCCAGUUCAUUUGUGUCAGCAGCUAAUACCUAAAAACACGUGGAAUCCCCAGUAGUCACAGUGAACCUUGGUCAGGACUUCCCCUCCAGGAGUGAUAUUGCCCACAGUGAGAAGGUCUCUCCUACAUAAAUCACUGAUCAAGAAGAUGCUUCACAAGUAUGUCCACAGCCAAUGAAGAAAUUGACAUGGUCACAUGUAGGCCAUACCUAAUAUCUGUGAAGAUCUAGAUGUCUUCUCUCCACCUCCAACUACAUCCAACGCUU